UGUCUGUGCCCAGCUGUGUUAUCUGUG
rnacentral:piRNA from 1 species